GAGUUCUCGCUUUCAGAACCUCUGUAUAUGUUUCCAUGAAUGAUCUGAUUCACAAGCUGCAUCAUCUACACGACAAAAGAACGCUCAUAUUGAGACCUAACCUAAAAUGUGAUUCAUCCUUGAAGGAGGGAAGAGACUCCUGCACUUCAAUGGCAACCAUCUGCUUUCUGUUUGUGAUCGGACUGGAUACCCACCUGGAGGAGCUGCUCUCUUUCCUUUCUUGCCUGGUUCACAGCGUCGUCGAUGGAUAUCUCUCCAUUUUUCACCCUGUUCAUGAUGCUAAGCUGCAUUUCAUUGCUCAGCUGAAAUAAAUGCACAGAGAUUAGAAGUUUGAUUAAAACCACAAGAUAUGCAUA